rnacentral:lncRNA from 1 species
UACCCAGGUGUGCGCUGGCCCCAGCUCUGAAUGAGGCCCGCCUCCAGGAGGUGUUUUCCUCUCUCUAGUUAGGUUCUGAUCCUUCUUGGGAGAAGAGCAGUCAUUUGGGACAAGUGAAAACUGAUCCAUCUAGACGGGUAAAAUACAAACAACUCUCGAUUAGCUGAGUGCGGCAUAUCUACUUUGAAGGGUGUCCACAGAAAAUGUCAGAUCUCAGGAGCCUGCUUCCUUUUGAACUUGAUUGCAGGGACAACAAAGGUGCCCUCCUAGGGUGUCCUCAGCACCUCCAGGCAAAGUGGCCAUUGGUCCCAGCUGUCCUGAUCUGCCCCAGCUGCCGUUUCUUAUGUUUCUGUGGCCUUAAACCACAUAGAAAUGUCCUUUGGAUCAUCUGGCGGAGCUGUUCUUUGAUUUACAAGCAUCAGGAAGGUGUUAAAGACUUACUCCACAUGGAGCUUUUCUUCUGGACCCAGUUGGAGGGAUGGGAGGAGAAUUCAAAAGGAAACAACGUUCUCACACUGGACACAGCGUUAGGUAAUGCCAGGCCCAGGAACCACCUGCACUCUUCCUGUGGCUUGGGGAUACGGUGGGCUUGGGGCUGAAGCACGUGCCUGGGAGGGGGGCUUCAGAGGCCUUGGGCAGGGGGCGCCCAAGAUGUCCUGAGGCAGGAUCCUGGGUCCCCCAGACUCCCGGGACAGGGACCCACUCACCCUGCCCUAGUGACCGGCCUGCCCCGUGGGAGAACAGAAGGCUGUGCGCCUGUGUCCUCCAGGGUCCCCUUUCUCCUGCAGCCCAGAGCAAGCAGAUCCCCACGCCCAUAGUGUCCCUGUUGCCCAUCCCUCGUCCCCUCCCUACUCAGGCAUUCUGAGCUGUCACUCUGUAGAGGUCUCAAGUCACCAUCUAAAGCCUUCUCUCCUCACCCCUCCCUGGGGUAUUUCUGGCUCCAAGAGGGGAAGAAAGCCCUGAAACCUGAGGAGACGCGGUCGUCGGUGACACGCCUGGAGAUGUGCAUUAAUAGAAGCCUCCCUCAGGCCCCUGACACGUCUGGGCAGCUGCUCAGCCCCAUCCAGCGUCCCUCCGCCCCAAGGCCAGCCCGCUCUGGCUCGGCCGGGCACACUAAACUUAGCUUCCACCCCAGCUCCACAACCGCCACCACCACCCCAGCCCAGCUCCACCUGCCUGGGGAGACGCUGCCACCAGGCCUGCCCAGAGCA